rnacentral:rRNA from 1 species
AACGAACGCUGGCGGCAGGCUUAACACAUGCAAGUCGAACGCCCUCUUCGAAGGGAGUGGCAGACGGGUGAGUAACGCGUGGGAACCUACCUAUUGGUUCGGAAUAACCCAGGGAAACUUGGGCUAAUACCGGAUACGUCCUUCGGGAGAAGGAUUUAUCGCCGAUAGAUGGGCCCGCGUCGGAUUAGCUAGUUGGUGGGGUAAUGGCCUACCAAGGCAACGAUCCGUAGCUGGUCUGAGAGGAUGAUCAGCCACACUGGGACUGAGACACGGCCCAGACUCCUACGGGAGGCAGCAGUGGGGAAUAUUGGACAAUGGGCGCAAGCCUGAUCCAGCCAUGCCGCGUGAGUGAAGAAGGCCUUAGGGUUGUAAAGCUCUUUCAGCGGGGAAGAUAAUGACGGUACCCGCAGAAGAAGCCCCGGCUAACUUCGUGCCAGCCGCCGCAGUAAGAC